UCCUGCUAUAGCUCUGAAAACUCUCAUGCCCCCUUGAGCUUUCAGAUAAACCCAGUCUCAAAGAUGCCUACACACUAAACAAUGUCAAAGAACAAUCUAAUGUCUAUUUUCUGCAACAUAGAUUUGUGGCACAAGAUGUUGAAUCUAUUUUAUCCACCCACCUAACACCAAGCAUACUAGAAAAAUCUCUGCAGCUCAGAAACUCCUUUUCUCCCCUGCCUAGACCCAGACAGGGCCAUGGUCUAGGAAACGUGUAAUUUAGUAGAAAUUCUUCCAGUUUUGUACACCUUCCAUUAUAUACUCAAUGUCCAGUGCAGUCAAACACAAGUCACACUCUAACAGUAACUGUUGUUACUGUGUAACUAUUGUUAAAGCAAAAGGGGCCAUGAAUUAGAAAACAAUGAGGGUCAUGGUAGGGCUUAGAGGCAGGAAAGAGACUAUAUACGAUGUAGUUAUAAUCUCAAAGAAUUCUUUUGAAAAGUUGAAACAGGCUUCAUGACCAUGUUCUCCAGAGACUAGGGAUUUGUAUGAGAGCACAUGAAGGGAUACUUAUACCUUUUCUCCCAGGAUGUGCACCUUAAAUCAUAAAAAUAACAGUCUUGUUAGGCAAAGCCACAUAAUUUAGCCAGAUCUUGUAGUCUACUUGAACAAGUGUAACUAUAGUAAUUGGGUUUCGUGAUAGGGUCAGAUUUUAUCCUGAUUCUUGAUUGCCCUCCUCUGUGAACACCAGUAAAUGGUCAGUCAGGAUAUUUGUUGAUCAUCUAAACCUGACUACCUGAUCCACAUUGCUAACCUCAACUACUGCAAAGCAGGAAAGCUUUCAACCUCCAUCCUAUCCCUCCCUUUCUGCACUGUGACUACAUCAGCUUCAAAGUUGGUCAUUGAACUCAAUUCUUGAACAGGUCACUCUUCAUUUUCCCAAAUAAAAGCCAGAGAUGUUGCAGGACACUCAUUAACUGGUCUAUGUUUCUUUCUUACUUACCAGUCAAGGCCCAGCCUGGAAGGUGCUGCAGAACUGUCUUCCCAGCACUGGACAGCAGAGGAAGGAAAAGGUUGUUGUUGAAAUAAGCUGUGGAGAAUUGGAGCAGAAUGGAAUAAAGAGAAAAAGGAGAAUAAAACAAUGAAGAGAAUUAGAGCUGAAGAAGAAUAAAAGGGAAUGAUCCUCAGAUUGUAUGAAGCCCUGCUACUCUAAAAAGCAUUUCCUUAGUGACCCUGGGUGCAGCCCCGAGAGCUGAACUCUCCCAGGCUGCCUAAAAAAAAGCUACAGAGAAACCCUGUCUCGAAAAACCAAAAAGUGAAAAAAGAAAAAAAAAAAAAAGAAAAAAAAAAAAAAAAAUAACUACCAUACAGUGGGACAAGUUCAGGGAGGACUAAUAAAAUAAGUGGAACAGUGUAUCUUAAGACCAAGCCCACAGAGGCCUUGGACUGAUAACCAUAGCUCCAUGUGAUGGGAAGAGUUGGAUUCUCAGGAACUGAAUCAACCCCUCCCCCAAAGCCCUGGCCCCAGAUCACUACCAGUGAGAAAGCUUGGGGGGGGGGGGAGGGUAGACCAGAGCCAAGACAGGCUCUCCUUGCAGCCCUAAUAGAGAUCAGGCCUUAGUUUCGGUUCACUAAAAUAGGACAGAGCUAAACAGUCAUCCGAAAAACCACAACUUAGGAGCAGACAUCCCAGUCUUCUGCUAGCUCAGCAGUCACCCCAUGGCCCCUUCUGCUGGCUCAGCACAUGACCCCCAGUCUCCUGAUAACUAAAGAUAGCUUUACCUACCCUGCUGCUAGAAGGUCCCUAAGCAUUAGGACCUCCCUCUAACCAAUCAGGCCCCAGACUAAUCUUUCCUCCACCAAUCAGUCACAGAGUAGUCUCUCCUCCCUGGAAUUUCCCUAACUCUGCUUAAAAGGAGCUUGUGACCUUCUUUAGGGGUUGCCAACUGCUACCCCAACGUUGGAAUCAAUAAAGCACUCUUGUUAUCGCAUACAUGGCUGUUGGUCUUUCCUUGGAGGCUUCUCUCAGACCCUAACAAUUGGGGCAUUGUCCGUAAAGUUCCCCAGAGAACCCCACCAUGCUGAGCGUCUGAUAACCUGGCUGGCUGUGUGACCAUGAAUUCAGGAUUCUCAAGAACAGGAUGUUGCCUUUCCAAUGCACCUUGUGAUUAGUCUGAAAUAGUCACAGAAGCUUGCUACGCCCACGGCUGUCACGCCUGUCACGCCUGUGUAGCAGAAAAAUGCCGCUGAGGUGGAAAGACGCUGAAGGGUUGGGGUCUGCGCUCCCAGGAGCUGAGCCCCAGGCGGU